ensembl:lncRNA
AUGUAUGUCUCUGACUUCCAGUACUUGGUCUCUAUUUCCAGACUUCUGACACCAGCUUGCUUGAUGGACUCUGCUCUUCAGCAUCUUCCAAUAUCAGCUCUGCUACUUGCCUACUGGCUUGAUGUUCAAACACAUUCUAAGAUUGGCACUAACUUCUGGUACUUGUACAGUGUAUGCUCAACUUCAGGUUUGCCCAACUUCAAGCACAAGAAGGAAGACAGGAAGAGACCCACUGACUCUCACGUUGUUGUCCUUGCCUGGAUAAGGAAGCAGAGAAACGUAAAGGAAUACAUUCACAAACACACGUACACAAAGACAGAGAGGUAAAUACAUAGACAAAGGCAUAGACUAGACUCAGGGAAAGUGGGAGAUUUACAGGGGCAGCCACACAAAGAGUGAGGGAGACAGGGAAAGAAACACAUCACACACAGGUGCGAAGAGGAAGAGAAACACAGGGAAAAUGUCCAUACACGUGCACACACACAUACACACACCUCUCAUAUCAAGGAGAUGACAGUUGUUCUGGUGUGUUGACUGCUAAAUUCUUGGAUAUAGCAGGGUCAACAUACUGCUGGAGUCAAAUUGUGAGGUUGAAUUAUCUCUAUGAUCAAAUGGCAACAUUAAGAUUAUGUAUAUAAAGCUCCUCACACAGUGCCUGAUAAAGAAAAGUUAUUAAUUUUAAUAGAAUCUUCUUUUAGUGCAGAUAUUGGCAAAAUAACCCCUUUCCUGGAGUUUAUGUGACCUUACAGAAUUUUUUUUAUGUGACCUUAUGGAAUGUUUCCUUCCCAGGGUGGGUGUAUCUUGGCUCCAGAACCCUGUCAUCUAUCAGCAGGUCCCUACCCCUUUCUGAUUUGCUCCUGAGAGUCAUGGAGGACAGAUGGGAUAUAACUACUAUUUCCUCUUCACUAGCAAGCUGGCAAACUUUGCAAAGAUUGGAGGAAUGGAGGCUGGUGGGCAAAGGAAUUUGGUCAAAGUACAGACAGAAAUACAAUGUCCCUGACUGGGGCACCAUAUACAGUAAGACUCAUAGUAAGCAGUGUUUCAUAUGACUGUUUCACGAUCUCAAAAUCCUUAUGGUUUCUUAAAUCCUAAGGAAAUGGGCCUGAAGACACAAAGAAUGUAAACUAGAUCUUUGAAAUCCCCUUUGGUUAUUCUCUAGAAACUUAUUUCUGCAGAAGUGCCUUCUGAUUGACAAAAGCUCACUUUUAUAUUCACAAUCUCACCCUGUCAAGGUCUAGUCUGAAAUCACCCUCAGAGAAUAUUGUGCAGUAACUUUUAAAAAGCCCAAAUCCUCUCGAUUUAUGCAUUUAAUUUAUUGUUUUCCUUGGUCAGAGCUUUGCUUUGUACAUAACAAAAUCCCAAUUUUGAGUGCCUAUCACAUACUGCUAAGCCAUGAUGUUGGAAGGCAUUUUUUAAUUUAGAGCUUGAAAUUCCCUUAGUUUACUUUCAAGUCCCUAGUCUUUUGGAAAUUUAUAUAAAAUUUCCUGGCCCCUCCCAGCCUCCUAUUUUCUGCUCCCUUUGGAAGCAGUUAAUUAAUUUUAUUUCUCAAAGAUGCUUUGUUUCCUUAAGUAGUUCAGUCUGGCUAGUCUUCCUCUGGGUAUCACUUUUCACCAGCACUUUAUGCAAACUCAUUCAGAAAUAGCUCAUUGUGGGCCAGUUUUCUCUGAUUGGAAGGACAAUUGCUCAUGAGGUCAAGGUCCUUAUGUAUCACUCAGUUAUUCAACAGUCUUCCAUGAGUCCCUGAUUUGGACCAUGUCCUCAGGAUAAAAAGACUUGACUUCUGUCAAUCCCUACCCCGACCCCAUAGAGGCCCCAGUAGAUGUGACUGGAGUUCAGUGGGGUCCUCACAGGCACUUUGAGUGUGUGUGUGGGUUUAUUCUGAAAAUAAAAAACAUGAGAACUGGUGAGUAAGACCAAGCCAGUGCCUUUGACAGGGAGCUGAGAGAUCGGGAGAAUACACUCAUCUGUCAAGCCAGCAGGACUAUAAAUGGGAGAUAGAACCAAGAGUCAGUUGCCAGACAAACAGCAGAUCAGAAAGGGAUUAGGGGGAAUCAGUUCCAGGAUGUCUGCUGUGAGCUCUGUUGGGGUGUUGACAGCUCAGAUUUAUGGUCUAGCAGGUACACAAUGCAUGGAAUACAGUGCAGGUGCACAGUGGCUGGACUAAAGGUACAUGAUCUGGAAGGGGUCUGUACGGACUCACCAUCCCUCAGGCCUUCCAUGCAAUAUGGGACGGAGUGGGCAGCCCCCAUUUCACUCAAUGGAAGUACAGUGGAAUAUUCUGGGACAUUCACACUUAAAGCCUGAUGAUUGACUUCUCUUCUGGGUCAUCUUCUUUGCAUGAUUCUAGGUGUGGAGCUGGAAAAAGUAUCUGUGAUAAUCUCAUGUUUCUUUUAUUGCCUUCUCCAGCUUCCCAUCUUGAGCUAGAGGCUGAGUCUUGGGGUAGAGACUAGGAUGAAGAUCACAGGUGCAGACAGGUCAGGAUAGAAGCAAGUGGUGAUCAAGAAAGUGAAUGUGCAUAGAUGGUGUGGCUUGAGGCAAAAGUCAACAUGAUCAUUUGUUGGUAUGACUUAGGGUAGGUCUUGGGCAGAGGCAGAUGAUGAUGACUGAGACACCUCAAGAAUGGCUGGACUGAUGGAAGCAGGCAGAAGCCCAGUGUUGAAGUUUAUCAUUUUGGUUAGUGCAUGAUCAGAAUUGCAUGUGGCCUUAGAAGGGUGAUAGCGCCAUUAUAAAAUCUACAAUGAUGAUUUUCAAGGAGUUUUCAGGUUUAAG